rnacentral:rRNA from 1 species
UGGGGAAUAUUGGACAAUGGGGGCAACCCUGAUCCAGCAAUGCCGCGUGAGUGAAGAAGGCCUUCGGGUUGUAAAGCUCUUUUGUCAGGGAAGAAACGGUAGUAGCGAAUAACUACUACUAAUGACGGUACCUGAAGAAUAAGCACCGGCUAACUACGUGCCAGCAGCCGCGGUAAUACGUAGGGUGCAAGCGUUAAUCGGAAUUACUGGGCGUAAAGCGUGCGCAGGCGGUUGUGUAAGUCAGAUGUGAAAUCCCCGGGCUCAACCUGGGAAUUGCAUUUGAGACUGCACGGCUAGAGUGUGUCAGAGGGGGGUAGAAUUCCACGUGUAGCAGUGAAAUGCGUAGAUAUGUGGAGGAAUACCGAUGGCGAAGGCAGCCCCCUGGGAUAACACUGACGCUCAUGCACGAAAGCGUGGGGAGCAAACAGGAUUAGAUACCCUUGUAGUCCCUGAGCGGGCUGGCAAGGCGCAU